rnacentral:ribozyme from 1 species
UGUCCAGCAACUCCUAUCCCUAUCUCCUCGUGUUACUGGCCGGGAUACGAGUUACCUUGGGAAAGAUCAGGUAACCAACCCCGAUGAGAACUUUGGUCGUAUGCUGACAGGGAAGC